CACAUGCAAGUCGAGCGAAGAAACUUCUUGACUACUUCGUGUUGGUUUUCCGGACGAUGAGCGGUGAGGAACCUGCCCCGAGUGAGAAAUCUGCCCUUAAAAACUCGAAUAUCCCUCGGAUAUCCCCUUAAUACCGGAUGUGGCCCAGGGGGAAUGUCUUCCCCUGUCUAAAGGUCGUCGAGACCUAGCUUUUGGAUGAUGUCGCGGUCUAUCACCUUGUUGGUGAGGUAACGGCUCACCGAGGGUUUGACGGAUAGCUGGUCUGAGAGGAUGAUCAGCCUCUCCUAAACUGAGACACGGUGCAAACUCUUACGGGUGGGACCAAACCAUAAUCAUUCCCAAUGGCGGGAGGCCUGAUGGUUUUCCGCCUGGAGACCUAUUAAGGGCUUCAGUACAAAGACCCCUGUUGUCUAAGAAUAUCACUCCCAAUACAAGCUUGCAAGCUUGAUAUUACCAAAGGAGGAAGGGACGGCUAAAUCUGUGCCACCAACCGAGCUAAUACGCAGGUCCCAAGCGCUGUUGGGAUUUAUUGGGGGUCAACGUCGCGAAGCCACUCGAUACUGUUGGGAGUGAAAUCUUCGGGAUCAGCGCGGAAUUCGUGCUGAAAACUAUCUGUGUACAGAUUCGGAGAGGAGCUUGGAAUUCUCAGUGUACCCUCGGAAUGCGUACAGACCCUGAGGAGCACCAGCUGGGAGAGCAGAUCUCUGUACGUAUUCUGACACUGAGGCACGAAACUGGGGUAACUAAGAGGAUGAUAUACCUUCGUAUCCCGUGCCGUAAACUAUGCACUCUUGCGGCCGCCUGUUCAACCCCGUCCCGUGGCUAGCUCACGCGGUAUUGACGCCGCCUGGGCAGUACGGUCGCACGAUGUUAGACUAAUACGAAGUUGACGCGAGCAUGCUUCACCUGGUGUAGACAUGUGGCUAAUGCCAUGCAACACUGAGUGUCCUUACCUGGCCUACACAUGUAGUGCACGCUGCGAAUCUCGUUUUCUAGAACUGCUAAAGGCCGCUGCAUGCCGACCCUGUCCUAGGCUGCAACGUAGAUGACGCCACCACUAGGACACUCCGGUUCACGUCGCAGCGAUGUAAUACGUCAGCUCUCGUACCACUGACUGCAUGCACUAGACAUGACUGCAGGAUCAGUCCAGUGCGGUAGAACCUGCAGGCUAGACCGUAUCGAAUCCAGUCUGAAUCAAGUGGGAACUGAACCCUCGAAGCU
rnacentral:rRNA from 1 species